rnacentral:rRNA from 1 species
GACGAACGCUGGCGGCGUGCUUAACACAUGCAAGUCGAACGGAAAGGCCUUUUCGGAGGUACUCGAGUGGCGAACGGGUGAGUAACACGUGGGUGAUCUGCCCUGCACUCUGGGAUAAGCCUGGGAAACUGGGUCUAAUACCGGAUAGGACCGCACUUUAGUGUGUGUGGUGGAAAGUUUUUUCGGUGUAGGAUGAGCCCGCGGCCUAUCAGCUUGUUGGUGGGGUAAUGGCCUACCAAGGCGGCGACGGGUAGCCGGACUGAGAGGUUGGUCGGCCACAUUGGGACGGAGAUACGGCCCAGACUCCUCCGGGAGGCAGCGGGGGGGAAUAUUGCACAAUGGGCGGAAGCCUGAUGCAGCGCCCCCGGGUGGGGGAUGACGGCCUUCGGGUUGUAAACCCCUUUCGCCAGGGACGAAGGGUUUUGGGGCGGUCCCGGGGGAAGAAGCACCGGCUAACGCCGU